ACAUGGACGGAAGGCUGAGGGGCAUAAAUCUUGCAAGUUGCUUUUCCGAGACCAGCCAGAACUAGCCCUAAAUGAAGACACUGUGCACUCGCUGCUGGCGGCUAUAGUCUUCUCAUUUGGAUUUCAACAAGUAGUCCAGCCAGAGAAGCAUUAGAAGAUCAAGCCUCACAUUUUCUGGUCAUAGAAUUCCUUUCUGCCGGCCCCACUGCAGGCUCAGGCCGCCGCGUAACCUGAGACGCCUCGAUUUCCCAGCAGACAGCACAUUAAAGGGAGGUCUGCCGGCCAGCUGCAGAGACAGAAAGCAGAGGUCACAGAGAUAAAUGUCAACUGUCAGAAGUGCCACAGAUGAAGGUGAUAUUCCUUUCUAAUGGUUUCUGAGAAGAGAGACCAUCAGAGUGAAAUCCAGUAAUCCCUCAUUUCUGAUUCCAUGCCUACUGAGACGCUCAAACUCGAGUGCAGACCUUGGUAAAGUACAGAGCGCUGAAAGGUAGUUCUGUCUCCUGGGGAAUCUGGAACGAGAUCUAGUAGGAAGUUUCAUUCAAGUUGAAUGGAAAACAUAAAAGAGAGUGUUCUAUGGAACUCAGAAGUCUGGCAAUGAUGGAUUUACUCCAUGUGUGAAAGACCGGAGUAAGUGUUCUUCCCACGUUUGAUUUAUUAAUUGGUUUAUUAAGAAAGUCCUACAAGUUAAUAUUUCACUACUCGCUGAAUAUAGUUAUAAAAUCCUAAGUAGAGAGUCCACAAAUCAAAUAGAAAUGGACACUCCAGUACCUAUCAAAUGAUGUUUUCACAUUUAUCUAUAUAUUUACCUGUAAUCGAAUAAUUUCCUAAGAAAUAGUAGUGUGCCUAAUUUGAGUAGAAUGUUGCAUUUUAGCUUUAUUUUUAAAUUUAGGUAGUUCUAAAGACAAUCCUGGGUGAAUUUAUGGGGAAAUUUUUAUUAUUCUCCUUCUUGGAAUAUGCCUGUCUAUAUCUAUGGAGUGAAAUGCACCCAUUUCUGGAAAGAUUCCUUUAAUAAUAUUCUUUUAUUUUAUGAGAUUCCAUGGCACCAUAGCAUGACUGAAUAAAUUAUCCUUUGGACAUAACCUAAUUUCCCAUAGUCCUAAUUCUGAAAGAUUUCUCAGAUUUUUUUUCCAGUGGGAGAAAGAUUAUCAAAUUCAUUAUUUUGCUGAUGAACAAAAUAAUACCUGAACUGUCUUAAAAGUGCUUCUUUUCAUAAAAAAAUAAAUAAUAAUAAUAAAAAAAAGCUAUAGCAAAUGAAAGGCAUUUAUUAUAUAAUUCCCUGGAGUGGAUCCCUCUUCUUUUAACUCAGAUUUUCAGGAAGCUUGGAUUCCUCCAAUUCCAUUUUAAUGCUUCCCCCCCACCACCCCAUUCUGUUUCAGUGGCAGUGAGAAACAGCUGGCCGGCAUCUUCUGUGAUAAUAACCUUCAAAUAGUGGAAACCCGAAUGGUUUUGGACAUGGUACUCACAAAAACAUCCCCUCGCGUGAUGUAGCUUAUUUGGUAUUUCCCCCUGUAAAUAGCUAGAUUCCUUAUAGCCAGCCCUUCCAGCGACGAUCAAAUUUUGGCUCUGUUCAGUAUAAUGCAAGCAUUUUCUGCCCCGUCUAUUCAGGAAUGUCUUCUGAGGAGGUUUCACAAUACAAUUUAUUGUGUUUAAUUUAUGACAUACAAUGUAAGAAGAAUGGAAUGCUUUUCUGUUAGGAUUUGCAUUGAUAAUUAAAGGUUACCAUAGUGCCGGUCCGCUUUUACCAAAUUUGCCAAAUUCUGAAGGGAAUGCCAAUUAGAAGGCAGUCACGUUUCUCACUGCAACAGAUUGAGACCAGUACCUGGUGGCGAGGACCCGUCGCUUUUGGCUGGACCCUACUUCUAAUUGGGAAAGAAGGCAAAAGCUAGAUCAAAUAGUGUUUCUGAAGUGGUAUCAGUCAUUCCAAGUAAUAGCCACACCCCAAGAAGGCUGAGGAAGUGAUUCAGUCUUUCUGAGGUCAUCUUUUCUGGGUAUGGAGGUAGCCAAAAGUCUGAAAACGUUCACAUUUUGCUCUCUUUAGGAAAAAACAACAUUGAUUUUAGAGGCUUUUGUUACAAAGGCCAGGGGGAUUUUCCCACUGCAGCAAAGAGGAAGCUGGGUUUGGACAGAGAAGCCAGAAAUUUCUUGGCCUGAGUUUCUCACUUGAAUGGGAUUCUAGUUUGCCCCCUCCUCACCUCGCCAACCCCAAGCAGCUAGAAGCCCCACCUCCUCCCUUGGACCAUAUGGGGAAGCUGGCUCAGUGGUUCUUUUCCUUCUGACUCCAAGUUCACGCAGCUGUUCAUUCCCUGCUUAAUGUACCGGUAAUUACAGCAAUGUGCUCUUCUCUUUUUCCAACCAUGUAACUUUUUUCUAAUGGAAAAUGAUUCGUUUUUAACAACUUCCAUGCAUUUUGUUCUUUCAUAAGAAAGGGUGUCUCGUGGUACUGAGGGAUUGACUUCUCUAUAAAAAGCAAAAGUCUCUAUAUCAGUUUCCAGCUCCAUAGGAGGGCUCCAUGGGACUAGCCAAAAUUGGGGGGAGGGCUUAAGUGGGUGUGACUAACUUGAUAUGAAUAGGUCAGUUGGGAAACAAAGCAGGCUCAUCGCCUUUUGCAUAUGGAGGUGGUGAAAGAACAUUUUUUAAAAAUAUGAAACUGGGAAAAAUCAAAAGUACAAAUUGAGCUCCUCUUUCAUGAUCCAAAUUCAUUGUGCUCUCAAAGGAUUUUUUAAAACAAAUAUCCGAAGAGCUUUUCACUUAUCUGAGUUCUAUCUUUUGGAGCAUGCAGAUUUUCUGCUUUGAUGGUUGGGUUUGGGUGGAGGACUCAAAUGACAGCAAGGGAUGCAUCUUUCUCUUCAGCCAUGCCAAGCUCUGGGGCACAGAUCAAACGUGUGUUUGUUCACAUUAUCAUUUCCUUUGUGGAUACAAUAUAUCACCCUUGGAAUCUCUGCCCUUGUAUCUCCCUAAAUGGCACCGGGAAUCAUUACAAGAGGAUCACUUCUAAAGCAAAACUUUUCCAACUCAUAAGAAUACUUCAUUUUGGAGCUUUUAUUUAAAAAAUAUAUUAAGUAAGCAACUGUUGUUGUAAAGAAAACCAAAUCAAAUCCCUGUGUGUAGAUGGAACUGUUAGUUCUAUGCAACACGUAGAGCUAUUUGAUCAGAAAGAUGAUAGCACAAUGAAUGCUUCUUUUAUAUGAAAAUUCAAAAUUCAAGGAAGUUGAGAGCAUGAUAGACUAUAUGUGCAAACUGAAUAUGCCUCAUUUGACAUUUUAGGGAUUCACAGAAUUUAUGCUUUAGGGGAAGCUAUAAAACAGAUAUUUGGAGCCCCAAAUCCUUUGGUGCUAAAUGUAUCCAUAUCGUCAAGGAGCAUUAAUUUUAUUGCUUACAUAUUCCCUUUACCCUAAUAAUGGUGAGUAACAACAUGAUUUGCCAGGAACCACCUAUCUCUUACCUAGCUCUCUCUCCAGAAAUUUCUUGGUUUUUCUUACAAGUUCCUUCAGAAAUUUUAUGACACCAAAGUG